rnacentral:rRNA from 1 species
CCUACGGGUGGCAGCAGUGAGGAAUAUUGGUCAAUGGCCGUAAGGCUGAACCAGCCAAGUCGCGUGAAGGAAGAAGGAUCUAUGGUUUGUAAACUUCUUUUAUAUGGGAAUAAAAUGUUCCACGUGUGGGAUUUUGUAUGUACCAUAUGAAUAAGGAUCGGCUAACUCCGUGCCAGCAGCCGCGGUAAUACGGAGGAUCCGAGCGUUAUCCGGAUUUAUUGGGUUUAAAGGGAGCGUAGGUGGAUUGUUAAGUCAGUUGUGAAAGUUUGCGGCUCAACCGUAAAAUUGCAGUUGAAACUGGCAGUCUUGAGUACAGUAGAGGUGGGCGGAAUUCGUGGUGUAGCGGUGAAAUGCUUAGAUAUCACGAAGAACUCCGAUUGCGAAGGCAGCUCACUGGACUGCAACUGACACUGAGGCUCGAAAGUGUGGGUAUCAAACAGGAUUAGAUACCCGUGUAGUC